UGUGAGAGUGUGAGUGUGUGUGUGAGAGUGAGUGUGUGCGCACAUACCACUUUAUAAUCUCACGCCC
rnacentral:miRNA from 1 species